GACGAACGCUGGCGGCGUGCCUAAUACAUGCAAGUCGAACGCUUUUUCUUUCACCGGAGCUUGCUCCACCGAAAGAAAAAGAGCGGCGAACGGGUGAGUAACACGUGGGUAACCUGCCCAUCAGAAGGGGAUAACACUUGGAAACAGGUGCUAAUACCGUAUAACACUAUUUUCCGCAUGGAAGAAAGUUGAAAGGCGCUUUUGCGUCACUGAUGGACGGACCCGCGGUGCAUUAGCUAGUUGGUGAGGUAACGGCUCACCAAGGCAACGAUGAAUAGCCGACCUGGGAGGGUGAUCGGCCACACUGGGACUGAGACACGGCCCAGACUCCUACGGGAGGCAGCAGUAGGGAAUCUUCGGCAAUGGACGAAAGUCUGACCGAGCAACGCCGCGUGAGUGAAGAAGGUUUUCGGAUCGUAAAACUCUGUUGUUAGAGAAGAACAAGGAUGAGAGUAGAACGUUCAUCCCUUGACGGUAUCUAACCAGAAAGCCACGGCUAACUACGUGCCAGCCGCCGCCGUAA
rnacentral:rRNA from 1 species